CAGCCGCCACGGUAAUACGAAGGGUGCAAGCGUUAAUCGGAAUUACUGGGCGUAAAGCGUGUGUAGGUGGUGGUUUAAGUCCGUUGUGAAAUCCCCGGGCUCAACCUGGGAAUGGCAGUGGAUACUGGCAAGCUAGAGUGUGGUAGAGGAUAGUGGAAUUUCCGGUGUAGCAGUGAAAUGCGUAGAGAUCGGAAGGAACAUCUGUGGCGAAGGCGACUAUCUGGGCCAACACUGACACUGAGGCACGAAAGCGUGGGGAGCAAACAGGAUUAGAUACCCCUGUAGUCCCUGUCUCUUAUAC
rnacentral:rRNA from 1 species